GGCUCGAUGGCGGAAGGUCCGCACCUGCAUUCUAUUAGAGCUGUUGUCCAAGAUCGUCCAUGCAGGUCCCGCCCGUUCGACUCGGGCUCGAGCCA